GGGUCGGUAGCUCAAUCGGUAGAGCAGUGGCCUUUUAAGCCAUUGGUUCCGGGUUCAAGUCCCGGCCGGCCUACCA
rnacentral:tRNA from 2 species